rnacentral:rRNA from 1 species
UACAGAGGGUGCAAACGUUGUUCGGAUUUACUGGGCGUAAAGGGCGCGUAGGCGGCCCGCUAAGUCGAACGUGAAAUCCCCGGGCUCAACCCGGGAACUGCGUCCGAUACUGGCAGGCUUGAAUCCGGGAGAGGGAUGCGGAAUUCCAGGUGUAGCGGUGAAAUGCGUAGAUAUCUGGAGGAACACCGGUGGCGAAGGCGGCAUCCUGGACCGGCAUUGACGCUGAGGCGCGAAAGCCAGGGGAGCAAAGCGGG